GAGGACCACUUUGGGACACUGACCAGC
rnacentral:piRNA from 1 species